CAGCCGCCACGGGAAUACGAAGGGUGCAAGCGUUAAUCGGAAUUACUGGGCGUAAAGCGUGCGUAGGCGGUUUGUUAAGUCUGUUGUGAAAUCCCCGGGCUCAACCUGGGAAUGGCAAUGGAUACUGGCAAGCUAGAGUGUGUCGGAGGAUGGUGGAAUUCCCGGUGUAGCGGUGAAAUGCGUAGAGAUCGGGAGGAACAUCAGUGGCGAAGGCGGCCAUCUGGGACAACACUGACGCUGAGGCACGAAAGCGUGGGGAGCAAACAGGAUUAGAGACCCCAGUAGUCCUGUCUCUUAUACA
rnacentral:rRNA from 1 species